GAUGAACGCUAGCGGGAGGCCUAACACAUGCAAGCCGAGCGGUAGAGAUUCUUCGGAAUCUUGAGAGCGGCGCACGGGUGCGGAACACGUGUGCAACCUGCCUUUAUCUGGGGGAUAGCCUUUCGAAAGGAAGAUUAAUACCCCAUAAUAUAUUGAGUGGCAUCACUUGAUAUUGAAAACUCCGGUGGAUAGAGAUGGGCACGCGCAAGAUUAGAUAGUUGGUGAGGUAACGGCUCACCAAGUCAAUGAUCUUUAGGGGGCCUGAGAGGGUGAUCCCCCACACUGGAACUGAGACACGGACCAGACUCCUACGGGAGGCAGCAGUGAGGAAUAUUGGACAAUGGGUGAGAGCCUGAUCCAGCCAUCCCGCGUGAAGGACGACUGCCCUAUGGGUUGUAAACUUCUUUUAUACUGGGAUAAACCUACCCUCGUGAGGGUAGCUGAAGGUACAGUAUGAAUAAGCACCGGCUAACUCCGUGCCAGCCGCCGCAGUAAAAC
rnacentral:rRNA from 1 species